rnacentral:rRNA from 1 species
UCUGGGUAAGACCGAUGCUUUUCUUGACUCUUCAAAGGUCUUGGAAUAAGGGGUGGGUAAGGACGGUGCCAGCCGCCGCGGUAAUACCGGCGCCUCAAGUGGUAGUCGCUUUUAUUGGGCCUAAAACGUCCGUAGCCGGUUUGGUACAUUCGUGGGUAAAUCAAGGCGCUCAACGUCUUGAAUUCUGCGAGCACGGCCAGACUUGGGACCGGGUGAGGUGUGGGGUACUCUCAGGGUAGGGGUAAAAUCCUGUCAUCCUGAGAGGACCACCUGUUGCGAAGGCGCCACACUAAAACGGAUCCGACGGUCAGGGACAAAGCCUAGGGGCACGAACCGGAUUAAAUACCCGGGUAGUCCUAGGUGUAAACGCUGUGGACUUGAUGUUGGGAGUGCUCCGAGCACCCUCAGUGUCGAAGCGAAGGUGAUAAGUCCACUGCCUGGGGAGUACGGUCGCAAGGCUGAAACUUAA